rnacentral:rRNA from 1 species
GAUGAACGCUAGCUACAGGCUUAACACAUGCAAGUCGAGGGGUAACGACAGCGAAAGCUUGCUUUUGCUGGGCGACGACCGGCGCACGGGUGAGUAACGCGUAUCCAACCUGCCCAUAACUAAGGGAUAAUCCGUAGAAAUGCGGUCUAAUACCUUAUGUGUUCCGACGAAGACAUCUGAAUUGGAAUAAAGAUUUAUCGGUUAUGGAUGGGGAUGCGUCUGAUUAGAUUGUUGGCGGGGCAACGGCCCACCAAGUCUACGAUCAGUAGGGGUUCUGAGAGGAAGGUUCCCCACAUUGGAACUGAGACACGGUCCAA